AAAGCUCGUAGUUGAACUUCGGGAUCAAUGGAUUGGUCAUGCCGAUGGUAUGAACUGGUCAUAUUGGUUCUCACCUUCUAAGGAACCAUGAUGUCAUUUAUUUGAUGUUGUGGGGAAUUAGGACUGUUACCUUGAAAAAAUUAGAGUGUUUAAAGCAGGCUAACGCUUGAAUACAUUAGCAUGGAAUAAUGAAAUAGGACAUCGCAUUCUAUUUUGUUGGUUUCUAGGAUCGAUGUAAUGAUUAAUAGGGAUAGUUGGGGGCAUUAGUAUUCAAUUGUCAGAGGUGAAAUUCUUGGAUUUAUUGAAGACUAACUACUGCGAAAGCAUUUGCCAAGGAUGUUUUCAUUAAUCAAGAACGAAAGUUAGGGGAUCGAAGACGAUCAGAUACCGUCGUAGUCUUAACCAUAAACUAUGCCGACUAGGGAUCGGAUGAUGUUGAUUUUUUAAUGACUCAUUCGGCA
rnacentral:rRNA from 1 species